rnacentral:lncRNA from 13 species
AUGUACAACAUCAGUAACUUCAAGUCUAAGGACAGUGGACAUUACCACUGUGAGGCCUGGAAUAGAAGAGGAUCUAGGAACUCUACAGCUCUGAUGAUCAUUUUACCAGGUGAAGUUUCAUCUUAUAUAUUUCAACACAAAAUGAUGUUUCAAACUAAUAUUAAUAAUUGUACUUUGGCUUAUCAUACUUUGUUUUAUAAUUAUAUAUACGUUGAGAUUAGAUCAGUUAACAAAUAUUGUAUUAUUGUCCUGGACUAUGUUUAUGUUCAGUUUAUUAUGUGCCAGGGCUCAUAUCAUCCAUAUUUUAUUAUAGGGAAACAAACAGUUGUGACUGCAGCUGUAGGAAUCAUAGUGGUGGUUCUGGUUCUCAUCCUCUGUUUCUCUGGAUUCAUGUGGUUCAGGAAGAAGGCCUCCAUAUCCACCUCUGACACAAGAGACACAUCAGAGAAAGUACAGGUGAGUCUGUUACAAUCAGAUUAUGUGUAUUACUUGGUGGAGCAUCUCUACUCAUCAUGUUGUCUGUCCUCUCUCUCUCCAUCAGGGAGACUCUAGUCCAGUGUAUGAAAACGUCUCAAACAUGGCCGUGACCCCUACUGCAGCACAGACAGAGUCCACAGUCGACCAGGAUGAUGUUCACUAUGCCAGCGUCCACUUCUCUCGCUCCAAAAACCAGGAAGUGCCUCUGUACUCCACCGUCCAGCUGCCUCAACCCCAGAAACAGGAAGAGGAUGUCCAGUACGAUGCUGUGAAAUUCAACCUCCCCAGUGCUGCCACCCGGUGAGAAUAUUCUGCCAUUACAACAACAUAGAGCCAAUUAUAGAGCAUUGUGAAUAACCCAAAUUAAAGCAGAAGUUGGCUUUUUUACAACAACAUUUCAUUUUGUUAUGUAAAUGCCCUGUUGUAGAAUAGCCCAGACACCUUUUUUUGCAAUUUCCCUUGUUUUAGAGAAACUUCCCCCAACCAGAAAUUCACUUCCUCAUCCUCGUUGUGCAGUACGGAGGCUCUGAAAAAACAUGAACAAAUGCUCCAAAAACCCCCUAAGACGUCCUUUUAGAAACAGAAAUAUCUCAGUAUAGUGAUGCAGGUCUUUAGACGUAACAGUUGUACACAUGACAUUGUGUCAUUCUGAACUUUAUCCACAACGUUAUAUUCCAUUUUGUGUGACUCCUGCUGUUUCUCCGUCCAACUGUUCUAUUCUCCGAGUAUCAGGCUGCUAGAACGGACGAGAAGCAUCGUACAAGUCUCAACAACAUGGAACAUGACAUUACGGAGUUCAGAAUGACACCAUUUCAUGUGUUCAACAUCUAAAGACCUGCAUCACUAUAGACUGUUCUAUUCUCUGUGUAUCAGGCUGCUAGAACGGACGAGAAGCAACGUUCAAGUCUCAACAACAUGGAACAUGACGUUACGGAGUUCAGAAUGACACCAUUUCAUGUGUUCAACAUCUAAAGACCUGCAUCACUACAGACUUCUUAGAGCUUCUUAGUUUCUAAAAGGAUGUUUUGGGGUGUUUUUGGAGCCCACUGACUGAACAACUAGGAUGAGGAAGUGAAUAGAUGAUUGGGGAUAGUUUCUCAAAAACGAGUGAAAUCGCAAAAAGAAUCUGCCCCUUCUAUAACAUACUAUUUACAUAUCAUUUUUUUAGAUUUGGUUGUAAACAAGCUAUAUUCUUGAUUACAGCUCAUUCAUAUGCUGCUACUUAUUGGAACGAGAAGACCAUGAUGUCAUCAAUAAGCAAAAGAGUUGACCCUCAGUGGCCACUAGUGAUGUCAUUUCAUUAAACUACAAACCUAACAAUGGAAAUCUCAAGACAAUUCCCAUGUCUAUAAUGAGAGUGGUGGUUUUGAGGAACUAUUCUGUGUUCCAAAUGGAACCCUAUUCCUUAUUUAGUGCACUACAUUUCACCAGAACCUUAGAGGCCUUGCUCAAAGUAAUGCACUAUAAAGAGUAUAUGAAGGUUUUUGGGGGGAUGCAGAUUCUGUUUCAUUUCUGUUUCUCUCUCCUCAGACCCACAGCAGCACAAGCAGCUGAGGAGGACUCAUCUGUUCUCUACAGUACAGUCAACAAACCUGAACCAAGAAGACCUGAACAUUACAAACCCAGAACCGAGAAGACCUGAACACAACAAACCCAGAACCAAGAAGACCUGAACACAACAAACCCAGAACCAAGAAGACCUGAACACAACAUACCCAGAACCAAGACCUGAACACGACAAACCCAGAACCAAGACCUGAACACAACAUACCCAGAACCAAGAAGACCUGAACACAACAAACCCAGAACCAAGAAGACCUGAACACAACAUACCCAGAACCUAGACCUGAACACAACAAACCCAGAACCAAGAAAACCUGAACACAAGUUUGACAGAAACCCUGUAUAGCUGGACCUGUAUAGUCCAACUAAGUGUUAUAACAAUGUAUCAUAAGAUUUGCCAUUUAGAAAAUGCUUUUAUCCAAAGAGACUUAUAAUUAUGUGUGAAUACAUUCUACAUGCCGGUGGCCCCACUGGGAAUGGAAACCAUGCACCAUGCUCUACCACCUGAGACACAGGACUACUGUAUUCACACUUAGUUGGAGUGCUGAUCUAUGGUCAGUUUUGUCUUAUAAACAAUGCUGUACUUGUCCUCUUGCUCAGUUGUGCACCGGGGCCUCCCACUCCUCUUUCUAUUCUGGUUAGAGCCAGUUUGCGCUGUUCUGUGAAGGGAGUAGUACGUUGUACGAGAUCUUCAGUUUCUUGGCAAUUUCUCGCAUGGAAUAGCCUUAAUUUCUCAGAACAAGAAUAGAAUGAUGAGUUUCAGAAGAAAGUUAUUUGUUUCUUGCCAUUUUGAGCCUGUAAUCGAACCCACAAAUGCUGAUACUCCAGAUACUCAACGAGUCUAAGGCCAGUUUUAUUGCUUCUUUAAUCAGUUUUCAGCUGUGCUAAUAUAAUUGCAAAAGGGUUUUCUAAUGCUCAAUUAGCCUUUUAAAAUUAUAAACUUGGAUUAGCUAACACAAUGUGCCAUUGGAACACAGAAGUGAUGGUUGCUGAUAAUGGGCCACUGUACGCCUAUGUAGAUAUUCCAUAAAAAAUCUGCCGUUUCCAGCUACAAUAGUCAUUUACAACAUUAACCAUGUCUACACUGUAUUUCUGAUCAAUUUGAUGUUAUUUUAAUGGACAAAAAAUGUGUUUUUCUUUAAAAAACAAAGACAUUUCUAAGUGACCCCAAACUUUUGACCAGUAGUGUGUGUGUGUAUAUAUAUAUAAAUUAUUCUUAUUUACAUUUUUCAUAAAAAAAUAUAUACACUUAUAAUCAAAUUUAUGAGAUUAUAUAUGAACAUUCAAUAUUUUUUUUCUAAUUUGUUUCUAUUCCAUUAUAUUAUACAGUACUGUGCUGUUCUGUUACAUUAUACAGUCCUGUACUAUUCUAUUACAUUAUACAGUACUGUACUAUUCUGUUACAUUAUACAGUCCUGUACUAUUCUAUUACAUUA